UUUUUACUGUCAUCUAUAGACAGAUCAAGAAGUUGUGGUGAUACAUAGGACAGGUCCACUCAUUAACCUUGAUCGCUCACUAAUUGCAAGCAACCCUGGUAACUUUUGAAACAUAAACAUAAUACAUAGACUCAUUACAAACAUAAAGAACAGAAGGAAGAUUGGCUGGAUCAAUCCUACUGAAUCUCAAAUGCAAAAUCCUAAAGAACCUGAGGUCAUUGGCUUGGCUCACAAAAGAGCGCAAGUCCAUAAAUCACUCUUUUUAGUUUUAGACACCCAUAGCCCAAUCAAUUUUUGCACCCAAGCAGGAUUGGUGUGAGCCCCGGAAAAAUUUAUCGAGCUUAAGUGAAAUAGUUCGAUAAUUUACUUAUCGAUUUCGAUAAAAGUUAAAGUACUCGAGAAUAAUUUCAGAAAAUUUCGUGAAGUGAAAUCCUCAAUUUAGAAGUUGGAUAAUGAAGUACACGUCACGACGAGUUCGUGGAAAUUUUCGGAGAAUUUUUCAGUGACCCGAACUAUUUUUUAACUAUUUUCCGAAGUUGAGGAAUUUUAGAAAUUAAAUUAAGAAAUUAGGAAACAGAUGGCGCAAUCCUAGCCAUCCACCGACUCCACCUCUUGAUCCUAGCCGUUCAUCCUUAAUUGGGUAAGUCUAUAUAUCUAUGUGUGCUCUGUUGGGAGAUCCAGAAGGAUCGAGAGAGAGAGGAGAGAAUCAGAGUUCUCUCUCUGACCCGAAACGAAACCCAGAAACAGGCAACAGGGUCCGACCGGCGCUACUUUGUCCGGCCACCGAUCGACGACGGACGACCACCAUCUUCUUCGCCUCUACGUCGCCUAUAGCCUGAUGCUCUUGGAUCGUCCAUGCACCUGACAAGGACGAAGAGCCGACGGUGAAGGUCCAAGCUUUUGCCGGCGAUUUCUGCAAGUUUCCGGCCACCAUUCAAGGCGCAUUCGGCGACUUCUCUGGCCUCUCUUGGUUCGCUCUUCAUCUCGUCUCCACCUGUUGAUGCUUGUUGUUCUAAACUGAAGCUAAAUUCCAAAGAACUGCUAGCUGGUGUUGGAUUCCCAGUUCGUCAUCAUCCCUGUUCAAUCGAGCUUGCUCGAAGUAGCUUUUGAAGGACUCCAGUUACCCGAGGAACAGAAGGUUCGUAACUCUCGGAGUACGUGAGAGAAAGCAUCAGAAUCCAGGUAGGGAUUUAGGACUCUCCUCGGUUGGUGAUUUUCUUUUAUAUUUUUAUUAAUGUGAUGCAUGUUAAGUAAUAUGGUUUGGUUAAGUUCAAAUGCGAUGCAUACUAACCAAAUCGUGAGAAAUGUGUGAUGGCUUGAGAGCGAAGGGUGGCUCUGACUUCCUUGGGUUCGAUCCCCAAAACCUUCGGAGGGUUAGUUACGCCGGUCGUCCGGGUAUUCCGAUCGUAAUGACGGGCUCGGUACGUGUGCGUAGCUAGGUAGCGGACGCUCUCGCUACGCUUACCUGAUGAUGAAGUAAAUUGAGGUAAGGUCGUGUAGUGGGUCUAUGGGACCGGCCAUCUGGUAAGAUUCAGCGCGCGUAUUCAAUUUUGUAUCAUGCAUCGAUUUUCGAGUUAAAAAGCAUUCUUAUAAAGUUUGUCGUUCUUUAAAAUAUUUGGUUUAAGUAUGUUUCAUACUGGAGCGCUCCCAAUACUGGUCUAUUGAUUUUCAAACCUAGUCGAGCUAGAGUUCCUGUUGAGCAGCGAGGACGAAAGCUCACCCCUACAACAGUAUGGAUGCAGGUACUGUGCACUGGUGAUCGGACAGUAGCGGACGGAGCUGGGUGUGCGGAACAAGUUCGAGAUGACUGAGACUUCUAGUCCUAAUCCAAGUCCUAUUUCAGACGUAGGGUGUCAACCGUGUAAGAGAAAGGAAGAUUGCGAGUGUACAUGUCCAAUCGGACGUCCCCGCCUUUUAAGUGUAGUAUGUUUACUUAAUCCAUCAACAACUUAUGGUUGUUGUAUCUGCGAAUGUCGGUGACAGCUGAGAAGGUGAGAAUAAUAAUAAGAAUGAACUAAACUUAAUGAUAAAGUGGUUCUUGCUGUUU